GCAAGACGGCACAUCCGAAGGCACUUGCCUCCCCACCCCCUCCCCGCUCUCUCUCUUUGCGCAGUGCGUUCGGCUCAUCCUUACGCACGCAGGCGACACGGAGUUCUUCGUCUUUGUUUUUCUGUUUCUCCUCGCAGGUCGUAGUGGUUAUGUGGGCGAAUGGAAGAGCAGGAGCUUAGCAAGGUCAUCAUCACUGAGGCGGCGCGGUGCUCGCAAGGUCGUCUGGACAGCGAGACCACCGCUCAGCUUGCGCGCUUCCUCAGUGAUGCGAAGGGGCGAAACCGCGUCUAUCAGUGCUGCCUAGACCUCGCACAAGACCCGGGACGGCGGCCGCGCAUCAUGAUGUUGCUGGUAAACUACGUCCAGAGCUUCCCACCGUCUCGCCAAUGCCUCGAGAGCAUUAAGGGUUUCUGUAAGGCUCACUCCUCCGGCGACGUCAGCCAAGAUCUGCUGAAACUGGUGGGCGCACUGCUGCGGGAGGCGCCGUUGGAGGGUCUGUCCAGCUCGAUUGUGCGGUCUUCACGACAAGGCUAUGCCUCGGAGUUCGCGCUGCUGGCCGACUUCUCUGCUCCGUCGCCGGGGGGUGGCGGCGGUGGCAGCGUUUCCAUCUCCACUGUGCCUUACAUGAAGUGGAUGGGCGUCUCCGUGAAGAAGAACGAGGGAGUGAAGUGCUACAGCGAGGUCAUGUACCAACGCGUGUGGUGCCCCCCGUACGUAGAUCAGUUCCCGCUGCUGUGCCUCGAAUCUACCGUGGAACGGCAAGCCAAUAUCAUGUCGACCUUUUCAGCCAACUACAAGACGAACCCAAACGUGAUGCAGGCUACCCUCUUCUUUAUGAAGCAGCUCUGUGACGGCUAUGUGUCUAAGCUGGUUCUCUCUGAGCCGCAGCUGCACUUCCGGUCUGUGACCAUCUGCUAUCUGCCCAUGCUGCUCGAGAUGAUGGAGAGCGACUACCUGUGCGUGCGCAACCACGUCUACGACUUCAUCUUCAACCUUGGUGUGCAUGUGCAGCUCAUCGACCCCUCUGGCGUCUACCCCGGGUGCACGGAGGCGCUCGAGCAAGAGGUGGUGUGGAUGGUGCUUACCGUGACGGAGCGGCAGGCGGUGCUGAAGAUUUGCGACGAGACGACGUGGACGGCAGCAGCCAAGUGCCUGCUGGCGGUGGUGCCGCCGUGCUAUCGGCACCUAGCUGAUUGUCGGGUGCUCUUUCAAGUGCUGCAGCUGCCGGGGCUGUGGGAGCUGCACCCCGAGGCCUUCACCGCCCUGGCGCAAGCGUUCGCGCGGAGUCUCUUAUCGAACAAAGAUGUAGACGUGGCCGCCGCUGACAACCUCGUCGUCGACGAGGUCGCCUUUGCCAAGCUGGGCAGUUCUGCGAUGUCUGACAUUCUUACCAUCUACCGACACUGCACCACUCCAGGCGCGCGCAAGGCUCUCUUCCAGCUUCUGGUGGCGUGCGCGGCCCGCCGGCAAGGGGCGAACGGUGCCCGCAGCGGUGUGCGCAUGUCUGGACAGCUGUCCCCCGAGGCCCGCGCAGGCGCCUUCAGGGAUUUGAUGUCAGUGGACUUUUUCUGGUAUGUUUUCCCGCUGCUGUACUACAUGUCCGAAACGGUGCAGCGGGAGCUUCCGCGACGCAUCGCCGACGGCCUCGUUAAGUCUGACUUCGAUGGCACCAAGAAGAGCUGGAACGUUGUGCUGCCGCUGGUGGAGAACAUGCUCGGGCUGCUCGCUGAGGAUGCCGAGCUGGAGAGCUACACGCAGGCGCGUUUCAAGGGUGUUGAGGUUCUGCGGCGCAGGGAUGAGACGGCGUUUUUGGAAGCCCUUCAGGUGCUUCUGGGUGAGGUAGCUGGGACCUUGCCGCUGCUGCUGGAAGGGCAACGAGAGGCGAGUGACACCAAGAUGUGCACUGCCGCCUGGCGGCUCGCCUUUGUCAGCCUCCGCUGGAGCGCGCGGUACUUGCCAGACGACGCUCACCGCGCCCUGACGGAUAAGCUGGUGCGCAACCUGGUCUUCUACAAAGACGGCCGUGGCCACAUCGGAAACCGCGCACGAGUGGGCCACAUGUGCGCCUCCCUUCUCUUUUCCCUGAAUCUGCUGUGCCGUACGUCUUCGCAGUGCGACGCCGUCACGUUCCGCACCGUCCUGGAGGUGGUUCUCUUCGACCGCGGUGAUGCCAUGGAUACCCGGACUGCCAUGGCUCUCUACCAUCACCUUAUCGAGUAUCUAUGCGUGCCGACGCGGUCAUCUUUCUACUUGAACACCGCCAACGACGUCAGCGACAUAUCGGCCAUGAUCAUUCGCGAGCGAGCGAUGUGCAUCAGCUCUGCUGCUGUUCAGCUCGUUGGGCUUCGCGUGCUGUGGGGCAUGUAUCGUAGCCUCGAUCAGAGUCAAGCCGCCGCGGUGUGCCGCGCGCGGCAUGUGCUGGUUCUCCUCCUGUGCCAUCAGAGCACCGACCGCCGGGGAGUAGAGGUGCGCACGUGGAGGACGGUCCUCACAGACUCUUACCCGCCCGUUGCGCUGCUCGCGGCCGAGAAGAUCAUGCACAUCUGCAAGGCGGAAGAGAAGCCGAGCACCGCCACAGAGAUCAACAGUGAAGCUUUUCGUGACGUGUACCACGACGCGAUGCGCAUCCUGGAAAAGGGGGAGAGGAAGCGCAUCUACUAGUUGUCUGCUGUUAGUUGAGAGCCAGAUGGAAUGCGGAAAGCUUUACCACCUGUAUUUAUGUGCGUGUGUGUGUGUGCCGCUUCCUGAGUAGCUCGCUGUAUGCAUGUGUGGUCUCUUGCUUCGUUUCUUUACUGCAGCAGC
rnacentral:misc_RNA from 1 species